GAUGAACGCUGGCGGCGUGCCUAAUACAUGCAAGUCGAGCGAACGGACGAGAAGCUUGCUUCUCUGAUGUUAGCGGCGGACGGGUGAGUAACACGUGGAUAACCUACCUAUAAGACUGGGAUAACUUCGGGAAACCGGAGCUAAUACCGGAUGAUAUUUUGAACCGCAUGGUUCAAAAGUGAAAGACGGUCUUGCUGUCACUUAUAGAUGGAUCCGCGCUGCAUUAGCUAGUUGGUAAGGUAAUGGCUUACCAAGGCAACGAUGCAUAGCCGACCUGAGAGGGUGAUCGGCCACACUGGAAGUGAGACACGGUCCAUACUCCUACGGGAGGCAGCAGUAGGGUAUCUUCCGCAAUGGGCGAAAGCCUGACGGAGCAACGCCGCGUGAGUGAUGAAGGUCUUCGGAUCGUAAAACUCUGUUAUUAGGGAAGAACAUAUGUGUAAGUAACUGUGCACAUCUUGACGGUACCUAAUCAGAAAGCCCCGGCUAACUACGUG
rnacentral:rRNA from 1 species